GCGGGGGGGGGGGGGGGUCCUGCGGUGAAGAGAACAGAACACAAGCCUCGCUCUUUCUCUCUCAUAAAUAUCCUGAAAACUGCAGAGAAGAAACCAAGCUCCAAAGAGAAAGAGAAGCCCAGAAGCCACUCAGCUGACAUAUCAUGUUCGUCUUGAGUCCUCAGCAGGGAGGGAAGCACCUGGACCUCAGCAGGACAAGGCAUUCAGAGGCAGAGAAUAGAAAAAGAAAACCCUCCUUCUGCCGCAGAAGGUGGCACUCAGGGACAGGCCAGUGUCUUGUCAUGAGGUGGCUGGACAGUUUGUCCCUCCCCGGGGACAUCAAUGAGCUGUUGCUGACUGACAGAUAACCAAGUAUAGUUGAGUGU
rnacentral:lncRNA from 1 species